GGAGGAAGAUGGUUGAAUUGAUGCACGGGAGAAUGUACCACCUCUAAUCGCGGUUAAAUUGGUGGCAAAUGAUGGCUCACAAGGUUGGAGAAGUGAUUUUUGGUGUUUUCAAGCNNNNNNNNNGUUUUCAAGCUGUUUAGGGAGAUUUAAGGCAAUAAAUGAUCACAACUAGAGUCAUUACAAGUUCUCUAAUUUUUUAGAGAUAUUGGAUGCAUGCGGAGGUGCAUG
rnacentral:misc_RNA from 1 species